CACGUUCGGAUCGCAGCCUGCAACCCGGCUGCGUGAAGCUGGAAUCGCUAGUAAUCGCGGAUCAGAAUGCCGCGGUGAAUACGUUCCCGGGUCUUGUACACACCGCCCGUCACACCAUGGGAGCCGGAAACGCCCGAAGCAGCGGCCCAACCGCGAGGAGGGAGCUGUCGAAGGCGGGUCCGGUGACCGGGGUGAAGUCGUAACAAGGUACC
rnacentral:rRNA from 1 species